UAUGUCACUUGCGUUUAUUUACAGGCCGGGUGGACAGUCCCCUGAAAAUAUUUUAGGCUAGUACAAUAUACCCAGGCAUGUAUGUACAUAUUCUAAUUAGCAUAAUAGCAUGGCGUUUAACCAAAACCAUAUCGAAAAAUUAGCUGGAACUUUCCACCGAAUUUAGCUCUGCUAAAAGCUUAACGUGCGAUAUCAGUAGGAUUGAAAAUAGUGUUCGCGCCUAGUAGACUUGAAUAAUUUAUUGAAGGAACCUAUUUGAUGAAAGGGCAGUAAAGCUGAAUUUGAACAUGAAGGUUCUUUAAUAGAUGAAUGACAAAUAAGAGUUUACGUAUGCGAAUAUAAUGAAAAGUAUAUUUUGAAAGGGGUUACAAAUAUUUAGAAAUGGUAUAUAAGUUUUAUACAGAUCAGUGCCCAGUAUCUAACAGGGCGUUUAAUGGGUCAUGAGUUUCUACUACAUUUUUUAGGAUGAAAAUACUGCUCCUGAAGAUACUGUAAAGUGUAUAUGCAUGAAGCAUUUGUGCACGCAUAUUUCGGUACAAAAUUGAUAUGCUUCCCAGAUAACAGGUCGCUAUGAAUUCGCUUAGAGAAUUCGCAGAGAAUGUCGCGUUAAAACAGAGAACUCGAAUUCUCUCAGAUUUCGUUAUUAUUCUCGUAUCGAAUUCGCAUCGAAUUCGGUAAUUAUUCGUAUCUAAAUUCGAUAUUACGCUCAUUUCAGAAUUCGUAAUGAAUUAGACUCGAAUUCUCAGAGAAUUCUUCUAUCGAAUUCGAAACGACUUCACUAUGAAUUCUUAAAGGAAUUCGCUGUUAUUGUAGUGAGGAAUUCUCCCCGAUUUCGAUAGGGAUUCUUCUUACAGGAAUAGGAGACUAUAAACUGUUCGCCUUGAAUCUCGAAUUCGUAAAUAAUUCUUAGAGAAUUUACUGUGAUUUCUCUCUUUCACGCUGUUAUUGUAUUUUUAAGUAAUUUUAGCUGCCACAUUCAAAUCUAUCCUCAUGGGAAGGAGACGACUUUUUCAGUUGAGUGCUCGCUACAAAAGAAGACUUGUAAAAACACCAAGUGAAAUUUUCGAGGAAAAUUUAAAUAGUGACCUAGUCCAGGCCGAAAGGGAAAACAUUUAUUCAGAACAAGUGUUCGAGGAAGAUCUGGAAGAAAUUGAAGUCGGAAGUAAGUUCAGCUGAAACUACUAGCUCAGAAAGUGAAGAUGCGGUAGCAGCUCACCCUAGGACUCCAAAUCAUACAGACGAGGGCACAGUUGACGAAGAAAUACAAAAAUCUCUUAAGAAAGUCGCAGAUAGAGUUGGGAAGCGUAUGAGGAAGUGACUUAACAUCGCGGCCACUUUCACUACCAGGGUCAUCUGAUUAUUCAACUUAUGUCUAUUUUAAUAGAAACAGUUAUGUAUAUUACAUAAUAUUUAGAAUAAAUAAAAUAAACUAUAAGCUGGAUUAACUC